UACACUUGUUUAUGUUUUUGUUUAACUUGUGGUCAAAGACUUAUAGACAGGUGCAAAAACUAAAUCAUCUUUUCCAACCCAGAGCUCAUUGUUCAGUAUGAGUUUUGAUACAUAUAAGAAGACAUACU
ensembl:snoRNA